UACGGAGGGAGCUAGCGUUGUUCGGAAUUACUGGGCGUAAAGCGCACGUAGGCGGCUUUGUAAGUUAGAGGUGAAAGCCCGGGGCUCAACUCCGGAACUGCCUUUAAGACUGCAUCGCUUGAAUCCAGGAGAGGUGAGUGGAAUUCCGAGUGUAGAGGUGAAAUUCGUAGAUAUUCGCAAGAACACCAGUGGCGAAGGCGGCUCACUGGCCCGGUACUGACGCUGAGGUGCGAAAGCGUGGGGAGCAAACAGG
rnacentral:rRNA from 1 species